rnacentral:rRNA from 1 species
AUUAGCUUGUUGGUGAGAUAAAAGCCCACCAAGGCGAUGAUGCGUAGCCGAUCUGAGAGGAUGACCGGCCACAUUGGGACUGAGACACGGCCCAGACUCCUGCGGGAGGCAGCAGUAGGGAAUUUUCGGCAAUGGGGGGAACCCUGACCGAGCAACGCCGCGUGAACGAAGAAGGUCUUUGGAUCGCAGAGUUCUGUUGUAAGGGAAUAAACGAUCAUAUAGGGAAUGAUAUGAUUCUGACGGUACCUUACCAGAAAGCCACGGCUAACUACGUGCCAGCAGCCGCGGUAAUACGUAGGUGGCGAGCGUUAUCCGGAAUUAUUGGGCGUAAAGGGUGCGUAGGCGGCCUGAAAAGUCUGUGGUGAAAUCGUGGGGCUCAACCCCAUCAAGCCCCAGAAACUAUCAGGCUGGAGAACAGCAGAGGCAAGCGGAAUUCCAUGUGUAGCGGUAAAAUGCGUAGAUAUAUGGAGGAACACCGGUGGCGAAGGCGGCUUGCUGGGCUGUUACUGACGCUGAGGCACGAAAGCGUGGGGAGCUAAUAGGAUUAGAUACCCUAGUAGUCCACGCCGUAAACGAUGAAUACUAAGUGUUGGAGAAAUUCAGUGCUGCAGUUAACGCAAU